rnacentral:rRNA from 1 species
CCUACGGGAGGCAGCAGUAGGGAAUCUUCCGCAAUGGACGAAAGUCUGACGGAGCAACGCCGCGUGAACGAUGAAGGCCUUCGGGUCGUAAAGUUCUGUUGUUAGGGAAGAACAAGUGCUAGUUGAAUAAGCUGGCACCUUGACGGUACCUAACCAGAAAGCCACGGCUAACUACGUGCCAGCAGCCGCGGUAAUACGUAGGUGGCAAGCGUUGUCCGGAAUUAUUGGGCGUAAAGCGCGCGCAGGCGGUUUCUUAAGUCUGAUGUGAAAGCCCCCGGCUCAACCGGGGAGGGUCAUUGGAAACUGGGAAACUUGAGUGCAGAAGAGGAAAGUGGAAUUCCAAGUGUAGCGGUGAAAUGCGUAGAGAUUUGGAGGAACACCAGUGGCGAAGGCGACUUUCUGGUCUGUAACUGACGCUGAGGCGCGAAAGCGUGGGGAGCAAACAGGAUUAGAUACCCUGGUAGUCCACGCUGUAAACGAUGAGUGCUAAGUGUUAGAGGGUUUCCGCCCUUUAGUGCUGAAGUUAACGCAUUAAGCACUCCGCCCGGGGAGUACGGUCGCAAGACUGAAACUUAAAUGAAUUGACGG